rnacentral:lncRNA from 1 species
CUGCUAUAAUAAAAAUACCAUUGACCAGGUGGCUUCAACAACAAACUUUUAUUUCUCACUGUUCUGAAGGCUGAAAAGUGCCAAGGUGCUAACAGACUCAGUGUCUGGUGAGAGCCCACUUACUGUUCAUAGAAGACCAUCUUCUCGCUGCGUUCUCACAUGACAGAAGAGCUUCAGCUGUGGGAGCUGCUUCCUACAGUUGCUAUCUCAGUGCUACUUAUACACCUAACUCCUCACUGGAAAGGUCAGUUCUCCCGACUGGAUUAAAAUGAAUGCACCAGCUCUAUUCAAAUAUCCAAGCAUCCUCUGAAAAAAAUCAAUCCUUCU